GCAUUCAAUUGGCGUAUCAAGUUUCGGGCAUUUUGAUUGGGUUGUGGAUAGAAAAUUCACAAAGCAGUCAUUUCUAUUGACUUUUUAGUGGCUUUGUGGGGUGACUGGGGAAAUGUAAAGAUGUGCAUGACCACUCUUGGACAAUUUUAAAUGAGCAUAGAAAGUGCGAGCGUUCUAACUGAAAAAUCGUGGAUUUGUAUAAAGGACACACACACAGAUAUUUUGCCGUUUAUAUAUAGAGAGAUCAUUGUGACGAUCCACAUUUUGACACAAGGCCAGCAAUUGAGAGGAGG